GGUCACAUGAGUUCAAAGUUUGUGGAAACUUUUGUGUGUGUGUCUGUGGAAGGGUUAGGUUUUAAGAUUGGAGUUCUCCAAAAAUUUGUCACUACAGACUUCCCUUCUGUAUAAUAUCACCGUGUCCUUGGAGCUGUUUUUCCAACUUCUAACAAACAGAGAUUUUGAAGACACACUUUUUGAAGAGGUACUUUUUGAAGAAGCCCUGCAAAACUUUCUUCAAGCUCGAUGGAAGAAGAUUGGAACAAACAGCAGGCACAGCAGAAGCCUGUAAUCCUGUAUCUAAAAUACAGAGGCAGUGUACAUCUAUGAAACACACUCAAAUUUGGGUUAUGAAGAUCUGGAGGUUUUGAUCAUAAUCCAUCUGUCCUCUCUCUAUUUUUUAGUCUAAUCAUUUUGGAUUCUUUAUAAUUGCUAUUGAAUUAUAUAUCUUUGUAAUGUUUCUACUGUAUCGUUUACGCCGCACUAAGCACUGCUAGUUAUCUUUGCUGCAUCUUAUUGUUUGUAUCACAGAGCACUACCUUAUUUGUCAGGUUCUGGUUUUGAACACAACAGUGUAAUAAGUGUAUGCUUGCAGAAGCAGUGUAGAGCUUGUCUGAAAUAUUUUUUCUCUUCACAUCCAUAUUUGAAGUUUAUAAAGAAAAUAACUUUGUUACAGAUGGAGAUCUUGAAAACAAAUUAACCGAAGCAGUUUUCUCUACACUGUUUUAUCAUCACUGACUUCAAUUUCAAAAUAAAGUGUUUCAAGUGGUUUCAAAACUAACCAUUCCCGUUAGAAAAAAGUUGGUCCUGAUGGAGCUGCAUUACUUGUCUUCUUUCUUCCCUUACCUUUCAUGUGUUUCUGUCAAGAAAAAACAUACCUUUUCAUUCAGCUCUCUGAGCAACUUAGUUUCAGCUUUCAAUAGUUGUUGGCCUCUUUGAAAUGUAUUACAGACACACCACAAAUACUGAUGUGGAAAUUUCUCAAAUAUCUGCAAGGAUUUCUUUCAAGAGGCUAAUUUAUUUCAGUGUUAACAAAUGUUUUUGCAAAGCAGAGAAACUUACUAUGUUAAGAAUCUUUGAGAACAAGUUGAAAAAAUCAGACUUUAUGUCCCUUUUAAAAAAAAACAUGUGUUUACUGCAUUUGACAUAUGAAAUGAAGAGGGGGCUCUGCAUUGUAAUAAUAUGUAAGACAAACUGCUUUUGUGAUGUGUUCGAACACAAAAUUGUUCAAUGUUGUCCAGUGUUCGCUCUCUACUGCUUUUUAUAGAGAGCAUCAUUCUCUUGAAGAACAGAGGCAUAUAAAGUAAUUUUAAGACUGUUAAGCUCAAUAUGAUGACUGCAGGGAAAGGACUGCCUCAGUUUCUUAACAGCUCACAAUAGCAGUGCUUAUUUUACUUUCUACCUUUUCUGCUUCCUGUCUUACAUUCUUCUUUCUUUCCUGUCUUGUUCUUUAAUCAGUUUAGAUUGUUAGAAAUUGCACAGAUACGAGUUUCAACAGCUGCCAGAACAAGUAUGUUCUUAAGUUCACCCUUGUCAAGUAGUGGUGCUGAAUUAGUUGUUUGAAUUAAUGUGUUGCAGUCAGCACAGUUGUCCAAUACCCCAGUGCUUUCUCACCUCAGUUUAUGUCACUAUUGAUACUGGCUUGCAAAAUCUUCAAGAUAUCUACUGUGUCUUUUGAUCUGUUUUGUGAAGUAUUUACUAAAACUGAGAUACAAUGCAGUGCUGGAGAACAAAUAAUGCUAAAAUAUAUUUGACUGGCAGCUCAGAGCAGAAGUUCAUGUAUAAAUGACUAAUUAUGAAAUUUGAUACUUAUAUCAACAGCGUCACACAUCUAGCUCAACAUUUUUUGUCUUACAGUUAUAGAAGCAUUCGUAUUAUGGGUGUUUAAAAUACUUUCCCUUACAGCUAAAGUAAAAUACUGGUUCCGUAACUAAUCCAGUUUACAAAAUAGCAAGAUCGAUGGAAACUAAUUAAUCUUUUCCAUACCUAAAUUCCUAGGACAAACUCUGCUUCUCAAAGAAAAGCUUAGAAGUUCAGCUUUUGUAUUUUCUUGGAAUGUGACUUAGAAUUUUCUUGCGUAUUUCCUUGUACCUCAGUCAGUCUGAUGUCCCUGAAUUUUAAUUCUGUUUUCUACAAUUUGCUGGUGUAGAGUAGAAACUCCUCUAAUCUAGCCUCUUCUGUUCCUAGCUGGUACAGUGUUCAUGAGAGAGCAAAUGGGCCAAACAACAUUCCUGGUAGAUGUUACUUACGUGAUGUUAGGGCUUUUGCUUCAUUUUUAGUGAGGAAACUAUGUGCCUGUGUCUCCCUCUUGUGGCAGGAAGGUACUUUGACCAGAAGCUGUUAACCAUUGGAAAAGAGCACCGCUUUUCCUAGUUUCAGAUUUGCCCAUUGCUAUUCAUUUUUUAACGCUCAGUUCGUAUCAUGUUUUAAUUAAACUAUUAAGGAUUCUCCUAGAGGUGCAGUGGAAGCUUCAAGUUAAAAUUUUAAUCAGCAUUAAACUUCCUAGGUUUGUACUAUACUGGUCAAAAAGAACUUUAACAUUAAUGAGGGUAAUUUUGAACUUUUUUUUUUCCUGUAAGAGAGUCAGUUCCAGUUUCUGUGCUCCAGUUAAUACGAAGACCUGCAUUUUAUCACAGAAAGAGAGUUUAUGGGCUCUGUAUCAUACCUGACAAACCCUGCUGUCUUGUUCCUGAACCAAGGUGGUUUGUAUACAUCUUAAUCAAAUGUCCCUGCAACAUCCCUCCCAUGAUUUCUCUUUCCAAGAUUGCUGAAAUAAAUGCCAAGUCUGCAGCUGCAGCAGAGAUGUGUUGAAGCUUCAAAAAAACAAGCCAACUCAGAAAUCUAGGAAAAACCCUUCAAAACCUGUUUUUAUUUUGUUCUUAAACAUUUUAUUUUGCUUUAAUUUUAGCUUCUGGUUUUGAAAUCCUGGGGACUCAACGAUCUAUUGACUCAUCAAGACCCAUCAGUUUUGGUCUGAUUCUCUGUCAGUUUUUACACACUGAUGAGUCCAACGUUCUUGCUUAUGUAAGUGAAAGAGUGCAAUCUUUCUCAGGAAUGACAGGCAUAAUCUCAGAGCUUAGGGAACCAUCAGGAAAACUGAGGACCCUACCUCAGGAUAUAGUGAUGUGCAUUGGCAACAUUUAGUGAAGAUCCAGGAGUGUAAAAAUCUAUCUAAGGAAGUACUAUAUAGUUGUUCCUGUUAUUAAAGCCCAUGUUACACAUAAUGCUGAAUGUCUUCGAUCUUGUACACAUUCAUUGUCUUGCAAGAGUGACUUAGAAGGGACACAUCGUAGCAGUAGUUUGGUAGACCACAUUCUUAAACACAGUUAUCUAAAUAGAUUUGUUCUCCAGGACUGAGAGUUACCAAGUAUGUAUCACAUCUCCUAAGAGGCUGGAGGUGAAUACAAAGCACAUCAAAGAAAAAAAACAAUAUAGAUGUCUCUCUUCAAAGUGAGCAUCUUGAAACAUAACCUGGUUUUGGAAAAACAAAACACAUCUUAAGAAAUCAAUGCCAUGUAACUGAGUAUAAAGAGUGCUCAAAGGCAAUAAAACAUUUGCAAGUCCCAAGUCUGUUGAAGCUGUUGUGUAAUCGGGAAGUAUAGUUCAGAAGUAAGUGAAAGAAGAGACCUGUCCUUCAAACAGGAGGCUGAUCAGCAUGCAGAAGUCAGCAGCAGCAAAUUCUUAGACCUCCUAAAUAACAUCUGUCCUUAUAGGUCAAUGAUGAGGACAGGGCAACCACAUACGACAAGUGGCCAGCACAGUCAGAGAGUUUCAGUCUCCCAUUUCAAAAUAACCAAGGAAGUCUUUAGGGUGCUAUUUUGUCCCAGACUUUAGAAACAACACAGCAAACAAAGGAAAAUGUCCCUUCACCCUGAGCCAAAGAGUUUUCUAUCCCUGUUUCUCUAGCUACUGUCUUAAGGACUCAUCUGUUCUCUUAUAGCCUGAGAAAAGAUGUGUCCACAGAUUCUGUAACCUUGACCCAGAAGGGAUACUCCUGGAAACCUUUUCCUUUCUUUGUGAUAUUAGUAUUUUUAGCUACAUAAGAAGCAUCACCUGAAAGAAUGGCAGAUGGGCUUCAUAACAAUAUGUCUCGUUACAACAGAGACAAGUCUAAAGUUUCUGUGUCCCAAGUAGAUGCCUUAACCAUACAGCUAUAAAGUAGACAAAUGUCAUCUUGUCUGGAGAAUAAUUAUCAUAAGUAGAAUAGCUUUUAACAGAAGAUUCUGCUAAUUACCAAGUACAUGAUCCUUAGGCUGGUUGUUAAGGACAUUUCAAAAAUCUAAGCAUCACUUGUUGGAUGUCAGAUAGAGAUUUGAAAACAAGAUUAAUGUCUGUGAGGAAAAUUAUCUUAUUUGCAGUCAGACAUAAAGGAUUUGCACAACUGUCAAAUAAAGAGAGAAAAAAAUACCACGUUACCAGAAGCAUUCCAUAAAAUCUUUUAUACAUGAUGUGAGAAUUAGGAGUUCACACAUUGAGCACUGCAGGUAAGAGAGACAGAAUAAUAUCUAAAUUAGCCUGAGACCAUGGACUAAAUGUGAGUUAUGCUGUGAACAGUUUAGAUGUUUUACGGAUCAGAACCCUGCUUUUAUGAGGAUAUUGUCAUUAUUUCAGGGCUUUCGUAAUCCUGAAUACUCAGCAGCUGUUAGAAACAUUCUUACCAUAACUUAUUUGUCUCUCCUAUCUCUCAAUAAAAUAUGUGAAAAAAAAUACUAUUAGAAAACAAAAUAUAAAUUGAAGUAAGCAGUUUUAACAUGUGGAAAACUUGUGUGGAAAACUUUUUGAUAAUGUCAGUUUGUUUGUCCCUGUUUGCAUCUUGGUAAGAGACUAGUUCCUUUUAUUUUGUCCCUGGUAAGUUCCACUUUCUGGUCCUUGUACACAAGAAGGAUGUUUGAAAUAAUAUUUGAGAUGCAGUAAAAUAUGCCUAAGAAGAAAAACAGUCAGGAAGUGGACUUAUUCUUGUUUAUCGAGCAGGGCAGUAUACCAGAUGGGAGUUACUAGAGAGAAAAAUGAUGUUGCACCUAUACGUCAGUCUAGAUGUUGAACCGUGCCUAAUUUUUCUUUAAUUGUCAAUACAUGGGGUUUAAGUUUAUUUCUCAUCUGUCUUGACAGUAUUUUAACCCUGAUCUAGAUAUUUUAUAAGAAUGUCCUCCAUUGAUCCAAAACAUGUUGAUCCAGAAUAACUAGUGUUCAAGAAGCAAUGAUACCAUUAAGAUACUCUUUUUUCUGCUAUUACUUGGAGAGCUAGAGAGCCGGCUCUCCUACUGUGACUAUGAAGCUAAAUCAAUAAAAAAUUGAUAUCUGCUUCCACUGGGUGGCAGCUCAAGCUCUUCUCAAAGCUGAAAGUGAUGGCUUUCUCUUUAGCUGAAAAAAACAAAACAAAGCAAAACAAAACAAAACAAAAUAAAACAAAACGAAACAACACCCCAAAAAAAUCAAACCAAACCAAACAACAACAACCCAAAACAAACAAACAAACAAACAAAACAAAAAACCCAAAACAAAACAACAACCAAACAAACAAAAACAAUGCAAAAAGACCCCAGCAUCACCCUCACACCCCAUCACUUUGUAAAACUAAUGAGAAUUUUCUGUACAUCUAGUGAAUCAGGUGUUGGUCCCUUCAUACUCAGGGACUCUGUGAUUGCCCAUAGCAAGAUGGUCUCUUUUCUGCUAAUGGCACUCCAAAAUGCAGUUCCUAUAUUACAUUUUAAUUAGAUUACAAUUAGUUCAAGGAAACAGUGUUUUAAAAUGAGGAUUUCUGAAAUGAACACAUUCACCGUGAAUGCUGUCUACCCACAUAAUUCAUUGGAGACAUUUAAUGGGUUUAAGUAGCCUAUAUGGAAAUUUAGAGGAAAAUCAUGUCAUGUGUGUCAUACAUAGCCUUAUAUUUUAAAGGACGCUGAAGCACCACUGAAGAAAGUGAAUCUUUACAACAGUGAGAGGUAGAA